rnacentral:lncRNA from 1 species
GCAGAAGGUCAGUAAUUACUUCCACAAUGGGGUUACUCCAGUAGUUACAUCCUCAAGCAUCUUAGGGCAGUGAUUGCCUGAGUGUCCAGUAUCUCCAGUGUGUUUGUGCUCGUAGAUCUAGGUUCUUCACUUGGUGGAGUCUAGGAGUUGUAAAAGUCCUUCAUAUUUUGCUCGAAGUGUACCUGCUCAUAAAGACAAGGCAGAGAUCAAGUGCAUGGGCCCUGUUGGUGGAAAACACCAACAGAACCAAAAGUGUAUUUAUUCUUCUCUAUCCUUAAGCAUAGUGAGCAAGACAAAGUUGAUGGAUAAUAAGAUCAUGAGUGUAGCAUUUAAAACAUUUGUUAGAUCAGAUUGCUCAACCUAAUGGAAAGAUAAUCUAUCUAUACUUAUGUGUUUUGUUUAUAUCUUCCAGAGAUUGAAUGUGCAACAUUUUAGCUUAUAUG